rnacentral:tRNA from 1 species
GCGGAGGUCGCAUAGCCAGGUAUUGCGCCGGAUUUGAAAUCCGGUGUCCUAGUGACUCGGGAGUUCAAAUCUCUCCGUCUGCGCCA